rnacentral:rRNA from 1 species
AUUGAACGCUGGCGGCAGGCCUAACACAUGCAAGUCGAGCGGAUGAAGGGAGCUUGCUCCUGGAUUCAGCGGCGGACGGGUGAGUAAUGCCUAGGAAUCUGCCUGGUAGUGGGGGAUAACGUCCGGAAACGGGCGCUAAUACCGCAUACGUCCUGAGGGAGAAAGUGGGGGAUCUUCGGACCUCACGCUAUCAGCUGAGACUAGGUCGGAUUAGCUAGUUGGUGGGGUAAAGGCCUACCAAGGCGACGAUCCGUAACUGGUCUGAGAGGAUGAUCGGCCACACUGGAACGGAGACACGGUCCAGACUCCUACGGGAGGCAGCAGUGGGGAAUAUUGGACAAUGGGCGAAAGCCUGAUCCAGCCAUGCCGCGUGUGUGAAGAAGGUCUUCGGAUUGUAAAGCACUUUAAGUUGGGAGGAAGGGCAGUAAGUUAAUACCUUGCUGUUUUGACGUUACCAACAGAAUAAGCACCGGCUAACUUCGUG